rnacentral:rRNA from 1 species
UUUAAUUGAAGAGUUUGAUCAUGGCUCAGAUUGAACGCUGGCGGCAGCCCUUAUACAUGCAAGUCGAACGAGAAAGUUCCUUCGGGAGCGAGUAAAGUGGCGGACGGGUGAGUAACGCGUAGGAAUCUACCUUUCAGUGGGGGAUAGCUCGGGGAAACUCGAAUUAAUACCGCAUACACCCUUCGGGGGAAAGGGGGCCUCUCCUUGGAAGCUCUCGCUGUUAGAUGAGCCUGCGUGAGAUUAGCUUGUUGGUAAGGUAAUGGCUUACCAAGGCUACGAUCUCUAGCUGGUCUGAGAGGACGAUCAGCCACACUGGGACUGAGACACGGCCCAGACUCCCUACGGGAGGCAGCAGUAGGGAAUAUUGGACAAUGGGGGCAACCCCUGAUCCAGGCAUGCCGCGUGUGUGAAGAAGGCCUUAGGGUUGUAAAGCACUUUAAGUGAGGAAGAAAAGAUUUAAAUUAAUACUUUAAGUCCCUGACAUUAUUCACAGAAUAAGGACCGGCUAACUCCGUGCCAGCAGCCGCGGUAAUACGGAGGGUCCAAGGCGUUAAUCGGAAUUACUGGGCGUAAAGCGCGCGUAGAUGGUUUAUUCAGUUGGGUGUGAAAUCCCUGGGCUCAACCUAGGAACUGCAUUCAAAACUUAUAAACUAGAGUACGAAAGAGGAGAGUAGAAUUCAUGGUGUAGCGGUGAAAUGCGUAGAGAUCAUGASGAAWACCAGUGGCGWAGGMGACUCUYUGGUUCKRGACUGMCAUUGAGGUGCGAAAGCGUGGGUAGCAAACAGGAUUAGAUACCCUGGUAGUCCACGCCGUAAACGAUGAGAACUAGCCGUUGGGAUCUUUAGAUUUCAGUGGCGCAGCUAACGCAUUAAGUUCUCCGCCUGGGGAGUACGGCCGCAAGGCUAAAACUCAAAUGAAUUGACGGRGGCCCGCACAAGCGGUGGAGCAUGUGGUUUAAUUCGAUGCAACGCGAAGAACCUUACCAACCCUUGACAUCCAGUGGAAGUUUUAGAGAUAAAACUGUGCCUUUGGGAACACUGUGACAGGUGUUGCAUGGCUGUCGUCAGCUCGUGUCGUGAGAUGUAUGGUUAAGUCCAGUAACGAGCGCAACCCCUUAUCUUUAUUUGCCAGCACUUCGGGUGGGAACUUUAAGGAGACUGCCGUGAAUAACACGGAGGAAGGUGGGGACGACGUCAAGUCAUCAUGGCCCUUACGGGUUGGGCUACACACGUGCUACAAUGGGAGAUACAGACGGUUGCGAAAGCGCGAGCUGGAGCUAAUCCUACAAAGUCUUCCUCAGUCCGGAUUGGAGUCUGCAACUCGACUCCAUGAAGUAGGAAUCGCUAGUAAUCGCGAAUCAGAAUGUCGCGGUGAAUACGUUCUCGGGCCUUGUACACACCGCCCGUCACGUCAUGGGAGUGUGUUGUACCAGAAGUGGCCUGCCUAACCUUCGGGAGGGCGGUCCCCACGGUAUGAUACGCGACUGGGACGAAGUCGUAACAAGGUAGCCCUAGGGGAACCUGGGGCUGGAUCACCUCCU